rnacentral:rRNA from 1 species
GCCCUAGUAACGGCGAGUGAAGCGGCAACAGCUCAAAUUUGAAAUCUGGCCCUCGGGUCCGAAUUGUAAUUUGUAGAGGAUGCUUUUGGUGAGGUACCUUCCGAGUUCCCUGGAACGGGACGCCAUAGAGGGUGAGAGCCCCGUCUGGUUGGAUACCGAUCCUCUGUAAAGCUCCUUCGACGAGUCGAGUAGUUUGGGAAUGCUGCUCUAAAUGGGAGGUAUAUGUCUUCUAAAGCUAAAUAUUGGCCAGAGACCGAUAGCGCACAAGUAGAGUGAUCGAAAGAUGAAAAGCACUUUGAAAAGAGAGUUAAAAAGUACGUGAAAUUGUUGAAAGGGAAGCGCUCAUGACCAGACUUGGGCUUGGUUGAUCAUCCAGGGUUCUCCCUGGUGCACUCUUCCAGCCCAGGCCAGCAUCAGUUCGCUGUGGGGGAUAAAGGCUUUGGGAAUGUGGCUCCUCCGGGAGUGUUAUAGCCCAUUGUGUAAUACCCUGUGGUGGACUGAGGUUCGCGCAUCUGCAAGGAUGCUGGCGUAAUGGUCAUCA